ACUUCCCUCCAUGUGGGGACAUAGAGGUUGCCUCUGUCCAGGGUUGGAUACGCCAUGCUAGGAGAUACUUCCCUCCAUGUGGGGACAUAGAGGUUGCCUCUGUCCAAGGUUGGAUACACCAUGCUAGGAGAUACUUCCCUCCAUGUGGGGACAUAGAGGUUGCCUCUGUCCAAGGUUGGAUACGCCAUGCUAGGAGAUACUUCCCUCCAUGUGGGGACAUAGAGGUUGCCUCUGUCCAAGGUUGGAUACGCCAUGCUAGGAGAUACUUCCCUCCAUGUGGGGACAUAGAGGUUGCCUCUGUCCAAGGUUGGAUACGCCAUGCUAGGAGAUACUUCCCUCC
ensembl:lncRNA